rnacentral:tRNA from 1 species
GAUUUUGACGAGCGCCUGAUUUCAUCACGAUGCUCACAAAGAUCUGAUCAUGUGACACAAAUCAUUAAUUUUUACUUCUCAGAAUGAAAACCUCGAAUUUAGGGAAAAGAUUUAUGAACCGAUAGGCUGCAUGUAUAUAAUAUGUAAAGUGAAUUGAACUAAGGUCCGAUCAAAAUGUUUAUGGCACAGCUGAAUUGUUGACUGAAGAGAAUGAAUGGUUUCGAAAAAAACCUUUUAAUUGUGUAGUCUACUGAGGACACAGGUUCACAUUAUCAUCAUUCUAGAAAAAGUAUAGAGUAUGAAAGGAGAGUAUUGGGCGUGUGGUCGGUUUGUUCAAAAUGAGCCUAUAAUUAUAUAAUAUAUCAUAAUAUAUAAUAAUAUGAUAACUAUAUUAAUAUUUCAAAAUCUAUAGAAGUAGAAGAAGGGUUCAACGUUUCGCAAACAGUACUGUCAUAAUUCCUCAAAAAAAGAGAAACAACUUUAUAAAUGCAAAGAAAAAAAUUCGAGCCUGCCAGGAUUCGAACCUGGAAUCUUCUGAUCCGUAGUCAGACGCGUUAUCCGUUGCGCCACAGGCCCCGUUGAUACCCAGGUGCAUGGUGAGCUCAAUAUCGAAUAUUUUUGGAUAUUCCGCCGUUCUUCUCGUAAUAUCGGUUAUUUUUCUUUUUUUCUGGUUAUAUUUGCGCUAUGAAACGACCAACAAUUACUCGGUAUCCUUUCUGUGAAGCCCACAAGCAAAAUAGAUAAGACACAUGAUGCCUUCUCUUGCAUUUUCGCGCCAUUUAUUAUCUAUUGAAGGGAGGCUACCCAGGCUGGAUGUUUGUUUCGAGAAAGAAGGAAGGUGGGGGGCGGGCAAAUGUUAUUAUUUUCAAGUACUCUCCCUUCCUUCUAACUGUCAGUGAAGUGAUAUCAUUUUUCAUCUCAAUCUCAUUCUUUUCAUUACAGUUCAAACGAGGUUCAAUAUUUAUUAUUACAUAUCUAGUUAGAAGCGUAUCGUUUGUUUUGAUUAGGCCUAAUCCGGCGAAAACAAAAAGACGUUGCCGGUUUUCGUUUUGUUUACUUUCGACAUUUUCUUCACACUGAGAGUUUAUAAACUCGGACACCGUAGGCUACUUGUCGUUAAGUUUACAUCACGUGAUCACUGCAGUAGCCCAGCUUGCAGCGGCUGCUGUGGUGUGUAGCCUAACAAAAGUUUCUAAUUCGCACGUACUCGUCCAUCCUCCAAAUUUACGAGAAGAAAGUGUAGCCUUGAAUAUUAGAAUCUUUAUCUGUGAAGCGACAUCUCAUCCUGUGGUUGGAACUUAACUUCACAGCGCAUGGCUGCGGCUUAAUAAAAUCUGAACUGUGAAGAGGAAAAUCAUCAAGACUUACUUCGUCAUGUCAGGGUCUGUUGUUACAUCUCAGCCUGGAGGACAGUCCGAGACAGUUCACACAUCUCAACCACUGGGUGGUCGCCAUAGUCAAAUGUCUGACGAUUCGAGUAUUGUGGGAGUUCGGAAUAGCUCUGCAUUAAAGAGACGAUGUUGCUGUGGGGAGAACGAUGACUGGAAUUACCCAUGGGAUAAAAGCAUACCCAAGUGUUGUCUUCUGGCUUGCUGUAUGUGGUAUCCUUUCUGCCUUGUGUUCCCUUGCUCCUUGUGUAUUCCAAGGUACAGAAAUUUGUUGUGCUGUGUCCAGGAGGGGUGUUGGGACGGCACUUGCUGUGGGGCCUGUAUCUGUGGAAUACCACCUAACGGGUCGGGGAAGGAUAUCAAGGCCGUUAGGGGCGUUGCCAGCUCCAGCAGUUCUCUCGGGUAACGUUCACACUUCUUCUACUUGUACCGGUGAUAAGUGUGCCUCAGCCUCAGAGUCAGAGGGUUACAUUCCCAUCUUACUGGUGUCCUUCUCAAAUUACACUUUGUGCUUUGAGAGGCCGGAAAGUUUGACCAAGACAAGGAUUUAAGUAACAAACCUUGACCCAACUUUUAAGUUUAACUCCUUGGUAUUGCUUCAACUGUUCUGCAGUUUAGGAAUCUCUUCCAAUAGGAAGUUAUAAUUUUAAUACAUGUAAUAGAAUUAGAGUCUUGAUUUGUGAUCAUUUAAAAAGUAAUUUCUUCAGAUUCUCCUGCUUUCUUGACCAACAGGCCUACACACAGGUAUUCAAAGCCGGGAAAGUCCUUGUAAUUCCCCUGCUACUAAUAGCCAGAAUUGGUGCCAUCGCCCACAGCAAAAGAUAAGUCAUCAUAACCUUCAAUUCUUCUAUUUCGCUGGAGACAUAUUCUCUUCUGUGGAUGGUUUGGUCGUCGUAAAACUUUGAAGGACAGGCUAUUAUUAGUCAACAGUAACAGUGGUGCAAAUAUUGUGGUCCAUUUCAUUAUUGCGUAGACGGACAACAUAACUGUGGUUGAGAGAUGAAUUAGAUGGCAACUUUUCAUAAACAGUUGAGUUGCAGCAUCUUGAUCAAAAAUAAAAUCACAAUAUAUACUCCUCUGUGUAUAAUUUACAUUAUAAAGUAUGCUUAUCUUAUUUAUUGAAUGGAUACACUCAUCAUGUACUUAUAUUAUCCUCUGAAAAGUCCAGAUCAAUUCAAUAAGUGGGCCUACGGCUUACUAACUGAAUUUGCUUGUUUACUAUGACUUGUUGACUUUUGACAAACUUUUUGUUUUCAACCGAUCACUUGACCAUUUGUCCAGUUUGUUUAUCACGAAAGAAUUUAACCUUGUGCCUCUUCCCGUUUCUAUGCAACAGUGAUGUUCUAUUAUUAUAAUAAAUGCUGAAAUUUAUUUUUGCGAAAUGUUUCUUUUCUCUUUCAAUGAAUUUAGUUGACACUUUUUAUUUUGUUUGUCAUGUUUUCACGAAAGAUAUUAUUCAUGUGCCCUUUAUUUGUGCAGGGUUUUUUUUUUUUAACUUUAAAAAGUAUUACUGAGAAGCAUACUACAGCACUGACAAUGUGAUCUGUUAUAAUUUAUACAGGUUAUACACAUUUAAAAAAUUGUAUACUAUUGUCGUUUGCAUUGUAAAGGUGCACUAAUACUUAAACCAUGUACAGGGCCAUAAUGUGCUCAUGGGACAGCCUGUGAAUCUCUCAAAGGUUAUUAGAGGUCAAAUGUACAAAAAAUAUUUAGGUUCCAAUAAAGCAAGCCAGCAAGCAGAAGUAGGCCUACCUGAAAUAUCUCAGCAUCAAGACCUCUACUUAUUGUCCACAAGCUGUUCAAAUGUACAAAGCCUGAAAUUUUGAGGAUU